rnacentral:rRNA from 1 species
GAUGAACGCUGGCGGCGUGCCUAAUACAUGCAAGUCGAGCGAACAGACGAGGAGCUUGCUCCUCUGACGUUAGCGGCGGACGGGUGAGUAACACGUGGAUAACCUACCUAUAAGACUGGGAUAACUUCGGGAAACCGGAGCUAAUACCGGAUAAUAUAUUGAACCGCAUGGUUCAAUAGUGAAAGACGGUUUUGCUGUCACUUAUAGAUGGAUCCGCGCCGCAUUAGCUAGUUGGUAAGGUAACGGCUUACCAAGGCAACGAUGCGUAGCCGACCUGAGAGGGUGAUCGGCCACACUGGAACUGAGACACGGUCCAGACUCCUACGGGAGGCAGCAGCAGGGAAUCUUCCGCAAUGGGCGAAAGCCUGACGGAGCAACGCCGCGUGAGUGAUGAAGGUCUUCGGACCGUAAAACUCUGUUAUUAGGGAAGAACAAAUGUGUAAGUAACUAUGCACGUCUUGACGGUACCUAAUCAGAAAGCCACGGCUAACUACGUG